rnacentral:rRNA from 2 species
UAGGGAAUAUUGCACAAUGGGCGAAAGCCUGAUGCAGCAACGCCGCGUGCGAGAUGAAGGCCUUCGGGUCGUAAAGCGCUUUUCGGGGAGAUGAGGAGGGACAGUAUCCCCGGAAUAAGGCUCGGCUAACUACGUGCCAGCAGCCGCGGUAAAACGUAGGAGCCAAGCGUUAUCCGAAUUCACUGGGCGUAAAGCGCGGGCAGGCGGCAUGAUAAGUUGGAUGGGAAAUCGCCUGGCUCAACUGGGAGGGGACGUUCAAUACGGUCAAGCUAGAGGACGGAAGAGGGAGGUGGAAUUCCCGGUGUAGUGGUGAAAUGCGUAGAUAUCGGGAGGAACACCAGUGGCGAAAGCGGCCUUCUGGGCCGAUCCUGACGCUCAGACGCGAAAGCUAGGGGAGCGAACGGG